rnacentral:rRNA from 1 species
CCUACGGGAGGCAGCAGUGAGGAAUAUUGGUCAAUGGGCGCAAGCCUGAACCAGCCAAGUCGCGUGAGGGAUGACGGUCCUAUGGAUUGUAAACCUCUUUUGUCGGGGAGCAAGGCCCGCCACGUGUGGCGGGAAGGAGAGUACCCGAAGAAAAAGCAUCGGCUAACUCCGUGCCAGCAGCCGCGGUAAUACGGAGGAUGCGAGCGUUAUCCGGAUUUAUUGGGUUUAAAGGGUGCGUAGGCGGAAGGUUAAGUCAGCGGUAAAAUGGCGUUGCUCAACACCGCACUGCCGUUGAAACUGGUCUUCUUGAGUGAGCGAGAAGUAUGCGGAAUGCGUGGUGUAGCGGUGAAAUGCAUAGAUAUCACGCAGAACUCCGAUUGCGAAGGCAGCAUACCGGCGCUCAACUGACGCUGAGGCACGAAAGCGUGGGGAUCGAACAGGAUUAGAUACCCCAGUAGUC